rnacentral:tRNA from 1 species
ACAUUGGUGGUUCAGUGGCAGAAUUCUUACCUUCCAUGUGGGAGAUCUGGAUUCGAUUCCUGGCCAGUGAA